rnacentral:rRNA from 1 species
UACGGGGGGGCAAGCGUUGUUCGGAAUUACUGGGCGUAAAGGGCUCGUAGGCGGCCAACUAAGUCGGAUGUGAAAUCCCCAGGCUUAACCUGGGAACUGCAUCCGAUACUGGAUGGCUUGAAUCCGGGAGAGGGAUGCGGAAUUCCAGGUGUAGCGGUGAAAUGCGUAGAUAUCUGGAGGAACACCGGUGGCGAAGGCGGCAUCCUGGACCGGCAUUGACGCUGAGGAGCGAAAGCCAGGGAGCAAACGGG